rnacentral:rRNA from 1 species
GAUGAACGCUAGCGAUAGGCUUAACACAUGCAAGUCGAGGGGCAGCAUGGUCUUAGCUUGCUCAGACUGAUGGCGACCGGCGCACGGGUGCGUAACGCGUAUGCAACUUGCCUCACAGAGGGGGAUAACCCGUCGAAAGACGGACUAAUACCGCGUACACUUGGGAUAGGGCAUCCUGACCCAAGGAAAUGAAAUUCGCUGUGAGAUAGGCAUGCGUCCCAUUAGCUAGUUGGUGAGGUAACGGCUCACCAAGGCGACGAUGGGUAGGGGAACUGAGAGGUUGAACCCCCACACUGGUACUGAGACACGGACCAGACUUCUACGGGAGGCAGCAGUGAGGAAUAUUGGUCAAUGGGCGAGAGCCUGAACCAGCCAAGUCGCGUGAAGGAUGACUGUCUUAGGGAUUGUAAACUUCUUUUAUACGGGAAUAACAAGAGCCACGUGUGGCUCCCUGCAUGUACCGUAUGAAUAAGCAUCGGCUAACUCCGUG